UGGGGAAUAUUGGGCAAUGGACGCAAGUCUGACCCAGCAACGCCGCGUGAAGGAAGAAGGCUUUCGGGUUGUAAACUUCUUUUAAGGGGGAAGAGCAGAAGACGGUACCCCUUGAAUAAGCCACGGCUAACUACGUGCCAGCAGCCGCGGUAAUACGUAGGUGGCAAGCGUUGUCCGGAUUUACUGGGUGUAAAGGGCGUGCAGCCGGAGAGGCAAGUCAGAUGUGAAAUCCGCGGGCUCAACCCGCGAACUGCAUUUGAAACUGCUUCCCUUGAGUAUCGGAGAGGUAAUCGGAAUUCCUAG
rnacentral:rRNA from 1 species